GAUGAAGAACGUAGCGAAAUGCGAUAACUAAUGUGAAUUGCAGAAUUCAGUGAAUCAUCGAGUCUUUGAACGCACAUUGCGCCCUCUGGUAUUCCGGAGGGCAUGCCUGUCCGAGCGUCAUUGCUGCCCUCCAGCCCGGCUGGUGUGUUGGGCCCCGUCCCCCUUCCCGGGGGGACGGGCCCGAAAGGCAGCGGCGGCACCGCGUCCGGUCCUCGAGCGUAUGGGGCUUUGUCACCCGCUCUUGUAGGCCCGGCCGGCGCCAGCCGACCCCCUCAAUCUAUUUUUCAGGUUGACCUCGGAUCAGGUAGGGAUACCCGCUGAACUUAAGCAUAUCAUAAGCGGAGGA
rnacentral:misc_RNA from 1 species